UUCCGGUUGAUCCCGCCGGACCCAACUGCUCUCAGAGCGGGACUAAGCCAUGCGAGUCAACUCCGCAAGGGGUGGCGCACGGCUCAGUAACACGUAGUCAACCUACCCUGGGGACGGGGAUAACCUCGGGAAACUGAGGCUAAACCCCGAUAGGCCAUGGCUCCUGGAAUGGGCCAUGGCUGAAAUCUAUAUGGCCCCAGGAUGGGACUGCGGCCGAUCAGGUUGUUGGUGGGGCGAUGGCCCACCAAGCCUAUAACCGGUGCGGGCUCUGAGAGGAGGAGCCCGGAGAUGGGCACUGAGACAAGGGCCCAGGUCCUAUGGGGCGCAGCAGGCGCGAAACCUCCGCAAUGGGCGAAAGCCCGACGGGGUCAGUCCGAGUGGUCCCCGCUGAGGGGACCUUUUGCCAGCUGUAAACAGGCUGGAGAAUAAGGGGUGGGCAAGUUUGGUGUCAGCCGCCGCGGUAAUACCAGC
rnacentral:rRNA from 1 species